UACGUAGGGUGCAAGCGUUGUCCGGAAUUAUUGGGCGUAAAGAGCUCGUAGGCGGUCUGUCGCGUCGGCUGUGAAAACCCGGAGCUCAACUCCGGGCCUGCAGUCGAUACGGGCAGACUGGAGUUCGGCAGGGGAGACUGGAAUUCCUGGUGUAGCGGUGAAAUGCGCAGAUAUCAGGAGGAACACCGGUGGUGUAGACGGCUUUCUGGACCGUAACUGACGCUGAGACACGAAAGCGUGGGGAGCAAACAGG
rnacentral:rRNA from 1 species